AGCUCUCCCCGCAGGGCCGGCAAAACGCUCUGUUCGCGCUCCCCAGAGCCAGCGCAUCUUAGGAGCCGCGGCCCCUUUGACAUGCAGGUUCCCGGGCCCCGCCCGCUGGCACAGGGCAGGCAGCUAAAAAACCUGGGCAGAAUAAGUGGAGCAUCUGAGGACUCUGAAAAGUAAAGAACAGCAGGCAGAUUGGAGAUGAAGACCAAAAUGGAGUGGACACAUGAUCCAGGCCUGGCCAGAAUUCUGCAUCAAGGUGGGUUCUCGCUGCCUCAAGGAAAUGAGGCCAACCAAAAUCCUGCCCUGAAUUUUUCUCUAGGAGCUCUUGGGAAAGAUGUACAGUCAUGUGCUGCAUAACCAUACCUGAGUCAAUGAUAGACUGCAUAUAUGACAGUGGUCCCAUAUCUGAUUAUAUCAUCAUAUUUUUACUCUAC